rnacentral:lncRNA from 1 species
GCUGAAUCAAGUCUUGAGACGAGCUGCUCUUUAUGCUGAAUCAAGUCUUGAGACGAGCUGCUCUUUAUGCUGAAUCAAGUCUUGAGACGAGCUGCUCUUUAUGCUGAAUCAAGUCUUGAGACGAGCUGCUCUUUGUCUGGUCCCGUCUUAAUGGUGAACUGGUAGGGUGAAAGGAACACAAGCACAUCCAUCCUUGUGCCCUGGCAGGCUCACCGCUCUUCUGAUAGACAGUCAGUCUUACUCUCUCAGUUAGAACCUGUUGGAGCUUUGGCGUAUGUCCCAACUGGCACCCUAUUCCCUAUAUAGUGCACUACUUUUGACCGGAGCCAUAGGAAGUGCAUUAUUUAGGGAAUAGGCAGCCAGUUUGGAACACACAGCCUUUAAUACAAACUUCAUUGGUGAAGCAAUGGGUCUGUCAACCAACGGGAAGCUUGUAGUGACAGUCUUUAUAACAACUGAUGAAGGCUUUUUCAGUCCACCAUUUUGUUCCCCCUCAGCCCUCCUGACCUCAUCUCGUGAUGAAGGCUUUUUCAGUCCACCAUUUUGUUCCCCCUCAGCCCUCCUGACCUCAUCUCGUGAUGAAGGUUGUUUCAGUCCACCAUUUUGUUCCCCCUCAGCCCUCCUGACCUCAUCUCAUGAUGAAGGUUGUUUCAGUCCACCAUUUUGUUCCCCCUCAGCCCUCCUGACCUCAUCUCAUGGUGAAGGUUGUUUCAGUCCACCAUUUUGUUCUCCCUCAGCCCUCCUGACCUCAUCUCAUGAUGAAGGUUGUUUCAGUCCACCAUUUUGUUCUCCCUCAGGCUUCCUGACCUUCCUCAUGAUGAAGGUUGUUUCAGUCCACCAUUUUGUUCUCCCUCAGGCUUCCUGACCUUCCUCAUGAUGAAGGUUGUUUCAGUCCACCAUUUUGUUCCCCCUCAGCCCUCCUGACCUCAUCAUCUCAUCAUCUCUCUGCUUAUUUUGAUGGCUUCACAACAGAGCCAUUGUGCCACUGACUAUUGAUGAUCAUCAAACAACAGUUUGUUUUAAUGAGAUACGAGUCCCCUAUUCAAUACAAUCAUCAAUCUUGCAAAUAUCCGCCUUUGGAUUUUAAUGCCGUAUCUUUUUUAAACUGUAUCCAUUUGAUUUAUGAUUGUAGAAAUCGUUUGUUUUAAAAUAAAGAGUUUGUGAACAACAUGUCCGUAUGUAAAACAUUUACGUUUACGUCAUUUAGCAGACGCUCUUAUCCAGAGCGACUUACAAAUUGGUGCAUUGACCUUAUGAUAUCCAGUGGAACAACCACUUUACAAUGGUACAUCUAUUGUACACACUUAGGGCUCUGGUCUAAAGUAGUGCACUAUAUAGGGAAUAGGGUGCCAUAGGGCCCUGGUCUAAAGUAGUGCAGUAUAUAUAGGGAAUAGGAUUCCAUAGGGCUCUUGUCUAAUGUAGUGCACUAUAUAUAUAUAUAUAUAUAUAUAGGGAAUAGGGUGCCAUAGGGCUCUGG